CUCGUAGGCGGCUUGUCGCGUCUGCUGUGAAAACCCGGAGCUCAACUCCGGGCCUGCAGUGGGUACGGGCAGGCUAGAGUGCGGUAGGGGAGAUUGGAAUUCUUGGUGUAGCGGUGGAAUGCGCAGAUAUCAGGAGGAACACCGAUGGCGAAGGCAGAUCUCUGGGCCGCUACUGACGCUGAGGAGCGAAAGCAUGGGGAGCGAACA
rnacentral:rRNA from 1 species